CACAGUACAAUAGACCAGCUGGGCUUUUCUGUCUCCAUACAUUCCUAUAAGCCUCCAUCUGCGCACAGCGGCGCGGAGGAGGAGCGUUAUCGGGACCGGGACCGGCCAUCAGGGCGGACAUGGCGGCGGCGCACAGCCCAGCAUAGACACUGCUGAAGUGGAACUGGGGAGUCUGUUUGUCAGCCUGUGAACUGCUGAACGAUUUGAUAAAACACUGUUUGAUGCCACCUGUAAUCAUGGACGAGCAACUUUUGUUUUUUGCGUGUUCCUGCGCGGAGAUGCUGCUGGUGUUUCGGUGCGCCAAGACUGACACUUUCUGUGGGUGAGGCUGCGAAGUUUCCAGGCGGAGCUCCAAACCAGAGCGACCACUUCAGAGGAAUGAAGCGGCUCCGCCCGGAUUAAAGCCGGGCUCAUGUCCUCCUUGUCCCGCUACUCCGCUCACCCCCGCCGGCCUGGUGGCUUCAAGGUACAACAUGUUCACACACAUGCUGCAACUUUCUGCUCCAAGCCCGCUCUCUGUGCUCACUCCACUCACGCAUCCAAGAAGGCUUACAAGGUUUUAAAAGAACUGAGGAGAGUUUAGAUCAACCAGGGAAAAGAAAGUUAAAUCUCCAGCAGUCAAUGAAUCAAUUCAGUGACCUCCUUACUUGUAAAAGUAGCCUACAAUAAUCCAUCAUCCUCAUUUCAAGAGAGAUGUUUCAGCUGCAGAGAUGUGCAGGAAGGACCAAAGAACCAGCCUGUAGCAGAUGGAUGCUACUGUGAUGUUUUGCUCUGAAGGCACGGUCAGCGUCGAACAAACACAGCAGCCAAGAGAAGAACUGUAUCAUUACAACCGCACACACCUGAAAAAUGGAUUUAAUGUGUGUCACAAUGUGCAGAGGAAGAUUUGUUCAUACUGUAUGUCAAAGACAUAGCAGGUGCCAUCAUGUUUAUUUUACGGGUUUCUAUUUUGAUCAUUUAAUAUUUUAAUGAUAAAUUGGAUGAUAUGUAAACAGACAAUCCAGGAUAUAUGACAAACAUUAAAGGAUAUUGCAUUAUUUUUA